UACGUAGGGUGCGAGCGUUGUCCGGAAUUAUUGGGCGUAAAGGGCUCGUAGGCGGUCUGUUGCGUCGGGAGUGAAAACUCAGGGCUUAACCCUGAGCCUGCUUCCGAUACGGGCAGACUAGAGGUAUGCAGGGGAGAACGGAAUUCCUGGUGUAGCGGUGAAAUGCGCAGAUAUCAGGAGGAACACCGGUGGCGAAAGCGGGUCUCUGGGCAACAACUGACGCUGAGGAGCGAAAGCGUGGGGAGCGAACAGG
rnacentral:rRNA from 1 species